rnacentral:lncRNA from 1 species
GAUAUUCUCCUGAACAAUCUGAAGUCACAACCACCACCUUGAAACCUCCAGGAAGUCAAUGUUGCAAACUCACUUAAUUUUAUUAUUAAGUCUUGCCCCAUGAAAUAUUUGCGAGAUGGAGCCAACAGCUAAGGGACGGACUGAGAAGAGUUUCAGCUAUGUCAUCAGAGCCCCCAGCAGUGAGGGGUUCGACAUAAUGAACGUUGAUGUGAAGAUUGACACAUCCUGGAUAUUCCAGGACAUGGAAGAUAGUGCUGAGGAGCAGGCAGGUCUUCAGGAAGAAGCAGCUGGUCACCCAGACGUGGAUACGGGGGCCCUCAGGAGGCAGCUGGAGUCCUCCCAGCAGAAGCUGUCAGCAGCGGUGGACAAGUACGUGACAUCAGAGUCCGGGCUGAGAAGCAGAAUUCAGGAGCUGGAGCUGUCAGAGAGGAAACUCCUCCGGAAGGUGGACCAGCUGAACACCCACGUGGCUCAGGAGAGAAGCGCCUGGCUGCAGGCCCAGGAGAAGCUGGCAGCGCUGCAGGGGGAGCUGGCCAGCCAGGAUGCUCUGGGCUGUGUUCAGGGUAACUCACUGCUCCUGCCCAGGGAGGAGGCCCUGGACCCCUGCAGAAGCCAAGGCUGGCGGAGCUCCCUGCGGUCCGAUGAUGCCCCUGGACAAAGGGCCUCAGAAGGCCAGUUCCUGGAGGGGCCCUGCACCUGGAGCUGCAUCGGGUCUGGACGGGCCUCUUCUGUUUUGGCUCCAGGCCCGGAGACCACAAGCGAGCUCCCCGGAGACCUGGCGGGAUCCAACCGUGAACAGGUGAGGAUGGAGGCUUUCUGUGCACGUGUGCAGUACUCCUGGGUCCCCUCAGCCCUGUCUCGUGCGGGGUGUGUGGCCACUCACAGGAGGUGGGAGGGGUAAAGAAGCUCCAGGUCUGGAAGAACAUUCUGGAAAGAGUUGAGAGAGAGAUUUGAGGAGAGGAAAUGAAACAUCCUGAGACCUGGAUGGGGAGUGGGGAGGAAGGGGGUCAGCUGGGUGCCAGGCCUGGGCUGCCAUGGAACAGACUUCCUCUCAUUGGCACCUCCUGACACCCACGAGGCGUUGCUGCCACCUCUGCUCUGGAGAGGAGACGAGACUCCAAGGGCUGCUGUGACUCCCCAAGGCCCCCCGCUUGGAGGUGGACCCCGAGAUCCAGGCUCGACAGCCCACACUGCCCCAUGCUGGCCCUGAGGGUCAGGAGCCUGUGUCCCGCCUCACCUCCUGUGGCUUGCUCUGAGGCUGAGGCAGUCGUAGCCUUUCUCCACUUCCAUUUUCUUGUCCCUGAGAAGCAGAGCCAUGCUGGGACCCGCGAGCCCAGCUGUGGUUGUGUGGUUCUAAAUAGAGAGGCCCUCCGUUAUCUCUUCAUUCAUUCACGUCCUGCUCAUGAUGCAUCUCUUAUUUUUGUUGUUGGCCAUCGCAUCCCUAUAUGUCUCACUCCUCACCACCCCCUUCCCUUGAAGCCCAGGGCAACGUCUUAGAACACAGAGGUGCCCCAUUUGACAGGUGAGGUGGCUGAGGCUCCAGCAGGUUAAGGAACUUGCUCAAGGUCACACCCAGGAUUGAAGCCAGGUCUCUAGGUCUAUACCUCUCUGGGGCAAAUGCUCUUUUCUCUAUGGGCAGCUGGGAGAGGGGCUUGGUGUCUGGAUUGAAGGACAUUGCAGACAGAGGCAAAGGCAACAGAGGAAGGGGUGCUGCCCACCCACAGCUCCAGGGAGCAGGGAGGUGGUGACCCCUCCAGGCAGGGGCAGCGCUCCUGGCCUUCAAGCCCCCUCUGCCUGAAGGGGCUUUGCUGCUUGUAUGUCCACCUGUAAAGGCUCAGACUCCCUCUGUCCUUUGAGAUGCUCCCUCUGUCCUUCUCUUCUGGGUCUUAGACCAGCUGAGCCUCUCCCAGCUAUUCUAGGGGUUCCACUGAGAACUGCCUGCAGCCUGCCAGGUCUGGGAGCAGCCCCAGGGACUCACAGUGAGCCUAGCUAAAACCAAAAUUCAUCCUCAGGCUUCCCCAGCCCAGCCGGGGCCUCUGCUGUGAGCUGGGCUCCUCCUCUCUGGAUAAACACAUCAAAUAAGCGAAGAUAAAAAUACAUUUAAAAUAUCAAGGAAACACCUCCUGUGUGCCCAGCACUGUUCUAGGCCCAGGAGUUGAACAAAGAUGAAGUCCUGCCCUCAGGGAGUGGACGGCCUGCACGAGCCCCAUCCAUGAGAGCCUUCUACAGCGCUAUUCACAGUCUGCAUCUGUGCUGCCCAAGACGGUAGCCACGGGCCACACGGGGCUAGUGCCACCGCAGAACUGAGUGUUAACCUUGAUUUAAUUACUUUACAUUUUAGGAGCUCCAUGUGGCCCAUGACUAGUGGAUUGGACGGGGCAGGGCUAUAGGGGGAGUUAGAUGAUACAGACAGAAAUAUAUAAUAUGGUGUGAGGGCAUGGAGGGUGCUGUGGGGGAAGAUGACAUGGGGUGGAUGGCCCGAGAGUGAGUCAGGGAGGGCCUUCUCAAGGAAGUCAUUUGCACUGAGAUACGAAUGGAGCCAGGGAGCGAGCCCUGAGGGCAUCUGGGGCAAGGACAUUCUGGGUAGAGUGAAGAGCACGUGCAAAGGCCCUAGGGUGGUGCCAGCUGUGUCCUGUGUGGGAAAGAGCUUGUCCCCUGUGCAACUGGUGAGGAGACAUGGAGAACCCCAGGAGGUGAGUGGAGGUGGGGGUGCUGAAUGGAGGAAGGGCUGUUUCACACCUCAUUUUCUCUCUCCAUUCGUAGCUUACUCUGGCAGAGCCUGGCUUGGAUGAACAGAUUCUUCUCCUGGUCUGUGGCUGCCCCCCAGGGGAGUGCU